GUGGAGUAAUGCACGAAUGGAUAAAAAAGAGUGAGCUGUUGAGGAGCAAAUGGAGAUCCGUGUCCAGGGGAGUGAUGCUAUUGCGAGUGUGAAAGGUUGUCCAGGAAGUAACUAAGAAGACAUGAACAGAGAGGUGGUGAUCCUCAGAGGACCGAUGAAGUAGAGCAGCCAGCACCCCAAGUAGAGCAGGCACUGUGGAAAAAUAGUUGUGACUCAACUAGACCAUUACAAAGUAUGGCCUGGAGGAUUUUCAUCUCAAGGUGCAAGAACAUUCUUAAUGACUGUACACGGCAGCUGCUGAUGGACGAUGUUGGGCCAGAUGUGCUACAGUUAGCGUUAAGGAGGUUGGAGACAAUGCAGAGAAGCCUUCAGUGGGCAAGAGGAAGACUGAUCAAUGUAACUGCAGCAGAUCAACUUCUGCGUGACUUGGCUGAAUUGAUUCAGGAUGUCGAACUGUCUACUCAGCAUGGGCAACAAGGCUGUUUUGGAUACCAGGCACCAGUGGUUUUCAGCAGAGGUAGAGGUAGAUCCCUUUACCUUAUCACUCGGGAACAGCUUUCAUUCCUGAAGUCAUGUGGAUUCACUGCACCUCAGAUGGCUGAUAUUUUGAGUGUUUCACUUCGUACAAUUUGAAGACGUCUGCGACAGUAUCAUUUCACCCGUGCAUCAAUGUAUGCGGAACUGACUGACAGUGCCUUGGAUGAACAUGUGCAGGACAUUGUCGCUGGCAAUGAACAAACUGGUCCUGAGGCUGUCAGAGCCUCCCUGCGAGUACGUGGACUACGUGUACAGCGAAGGAGGGUUUGAGCAAGCAUGUUACGGAUGAAUCCUGGAGCAGCUGCCCUUAGAGCAGUUUUGCGGAGACCAGAACGAAGAACAUAUCAGGUUGCAGGUCCAAACUCAUUGUGGCACAUUGCUGGAAAUCACAAGCUGAUAAG
rnacentral:lncRNA from 1 species